AGUCACACCAGAGAUGAAUAACAGGUGAAUGUCAUAAAAACAGGAUGUUGUACAUUAUUGUGUUCACUAGUCUACAUGCUCAAUGUCUAAUGCUCGGGGAAAAGUCAAACUAAAUGACGUAAGUAGCAGUGAACGUAAAAAAAUGAAUAGACAAGAUGAGCAUGGUGGGAAUAAUAAUUGGAACUGGAACUGGAACUGGAACUGGAGUUGGAACUGGUCUCAGCUAUUUUUACUGGCUGGCUCUGGACUUGUUUAUAAAAAGUACAUAUUACAAUAAAUAAUGUUCUAAAAGCAAACAUCAGAGGAUGAAAUGAAGAUUCGUCAUCUGAAAGCAAAUUAUGCAAGUCAUAAGAAAGAGUUAUCAACUUUAAACAUGGAGAUCAUUCAUUUGAGGAGAAUCGCUGUGACCAGAGGGAGAUCAAAUCCAUGGGUGUAAUUCAUAAGGUCUGCAGGUUGUUGUACUACACUAAAAUCAAACAAGUGUUGUGUGAAAUUGAGUAAAAUAAAACACGUAAACUUGUAUUCAGUUAAUCAAAGGGUUGAAGGUCUUAUAAAAUAAUAAAUGUAUUAUUAUUUAUUUUUAUUUUAUUUUAUUAGUUUCUUUUGUUUGUUUUCUCUUAUUUGUUUGUAUAUGUUUAUGGUAAAAGAGACAAUUAUGUAAGAUUGUAACUCUUCUUAAUUUGUGU